rnacentral:rRNA from 1 species
CGGAGGGUGCAAGCGUUAUCCGGAUUCACUGGGUUUAAAGGGUGCGUAGGUGGGUUGGUAAGUCAGUGGUGAAAUCCCCGAGCUUAACUUGGGAACUGCCAUUGAUACUAUCAGUCUCGAAUAUCGUGGAGGUUAGCGGAAUAUGUCAUGUAGCGGUGAAAUGCUUAGAUAUGACAUAGAACACCAAUUGCGAAGGCAGCUGGCUACACGAAUAUUGACACUGAGGCACGAAAGCGUGGGGAUCAAACAGGAUUAGAUACCCUGGUAGUCCACGCCCUAAACUAUGGAUACUCGACAUCAGCGAUACACUGUUGGUGUCUGAGCGAAAGCAUUAAGUAUCCCACCUGGGAAGUACGAUCGCAAGAUUG